rnacentral:lncRNA from 1 species
AUGGCCUUCGCCCGCCCUGCCCCUCUCUUGCUUCAGAAGCCCCCAGAAACUCCGCGGUCGGCGACCCAGCCCGAGCCGCCUGAGGUCCCAAGGGAAGCUGAACGCCUGGUGGGCUCCCGGGAUGGUUCUUCCCGUUCUUUGUGCCGCCUUCACCCAGUGAAGGAGCCUGUAUCCACCCUGCCCAGUCGCUUUGGGGCUGCUGCGGAGCUUCCGCUGCCAUCUUCGGAUCCUGUGUUCCCCACGGCGGCUCCACCAGGGCAGGGAUGGUGAAUGGGGAAAUGGAGAGAGAACCUGAAAGAGCCCCAAACUCGAGGACCUAUUGCUCCCCAAGAAUAACAUCUUCCAGAACUAGACAGAAACUAAGCGUCUGGAAACCCUGAAAUCCUUGGAGGAGUAGCAUCAUCCUGACCCUCUGUGUUCCUUUUGGCAAAGGACUUGCUUCCAUUGUUUGUUUGUUCAAUUGUCUGUUUGUUAAAUAAAUAAAACUCUUUUCAUAUAUCUUUAAAAGUACGUUGGUUCUAUUAUUUUAUGAUUACAAACAAUGCUGCAGUCAUCAUUCUUCUACACUUGUCAUUGGCCACUGGUAUAUUUCCAUAGGGUGGAGGCCUGGAGAGCAGUUGUUCCAGCAUAGUGCUUACAUAGCUUUUAUUUCAUUCCGUUUUCUUUCCUUUGUUGCUUUAUUAGCUAUAACCCUUUUCUUAUUUCAGUGGCUGCUUUAGGGUUUCUGGGAUAUGUCUUUAAUUUAUCACAGUCUGCUUUCAAGUGUCAUUAUGUCUCCCUUUCUGGCCUUUAUCCUAGUGUUAUGUAAUUUUACUUUAUGCAUUAUAAUCCUUGUGAUUCAUUAUUAUUACUUUUAUUUAUUACACCAAAUAUUUUUUAAAAGAUUUAAAUUCUAAGAAAAUGUGUAGUACAUGCU